GCCCGCCUAGCUCAAUCGGAUAGAGCGUCAGACUCUUAAGAGUGCGGGUGAAAGUACCUGUUAUCUGAAGGCUGCGAGUUCGACCCUCGCGGUGGGCU
rnacentral:tRNA from 1 species